UACGAAGGGGGGCUAGCGUUGCUCGGAAUCACUGGGCGUAAAGCGCACGUAGGCGGCUUCUUUAAGUCAGGGGUGAAAUCCUGGAGCUCAACUCCAGAACUGCCUUUGAUACUGAGAAGCUUGAGUCCGGGAGAGGUGAGUGGAACUGCGAGUGUAGAGGUGAAAUUCGUAGAUAUUAGGAAGAACACCAGUGGCGAAGGCGGCUCACUGGCCCGGUACUGACGCUGAGGCGCGAAAGCGUGGGGAGCAACAGG
rnacentral:rRNA from 1 species